GACGAACGCUGGCGGCGUGCUUAACACAUGCAAGUCGAACGGAAAGGCCCUGCUUGCAGGGUACUCGAGUGGCGAACGGGUGAGUAACACGUGGGUGAUCUGCCCUGCACUUCGGGAUAAGCCUGGGAAACUGGGUCUAAUACCGGAUAGGAGCCAUUUUUAGUGUGAUGGUUGGAAAGUUUUUUCGGUGUAGGAUGAGCUCGCGGCCUAUCAGCUUGUUGGCGGGGUAAUGGCCUACCAAGGCGGCGACGGGUAGCCGGCCUGAGAGGGUGGACGGCCACAUUGGGACUGAGAUACGGCCCAGACUCCUACGGGAGGCAGCAGUGGGGAAUAUUGCACAAUGGGCGCAAGCCUGAUGCAGCGACGCCGCGUGGGGGAUGACGGCCUUCGGGUUGUAAACUCCUUUCGCUAGGGACGAAGCUUUUUGUGACGGUACCUAGAGAAGAAGCACCGGCUAACUACGUG
rnacentral:rRNA from 1 species